AAGUCGUAACAAGGUUUCCGUAGGUGAACCUGCGGAAGGAUCAUUACCGAGAGAGGGGCCUCGCGCUCCCGGGGGCUUCGGCCCCCAACUCUUCACCCAUUGCGUACCUACUUUGUUGCUUUGGCGGGCCCUGGGGCUCGCCUCGCGCCGGCUUUCGGGCCGGUGAGCGCCCGCCAGAGGCCCAUUAAAAUCUGCUCAAUAAGUGCCGUCAGAGUAAAAAACACAAUAGCAAAAACUUUCAACAACGGAUCUCUUGGUUCCAGCAUCGAUGAAGAACGCAGCGAAAUGCGAUAAAUAAUGUGAAUUGCAGAAUUCAGUGAAUCAUCGAAUCUUUGAACGCACAUUGCGCCCCUCGGUAUUCCGGGGGGCAUGCCUGUUCGAGCGUCAUUACACCCCUCAAGCGUAGCUUGGUAUUGGGCCUUCGCCCCCGCGGCGUGCCCGAAAAGCAGUGGCGGUCCGGGGUGACUUUAAGCGUAGUAAAACGUCCCGCUUUGAAAGCUCGCCCCGCGGCCGGCCAGACAACCCCCAUUAUUUCCAUCAUUGACCUCGGAUCAGGUAGGGAUACCCGCUGAACUUAA
rnacentral:rRNA from 1 species